GCGGCCGCUGCCCUAAGCUGACGGGCAUCGGCCGGCUCUCCCCCUCCUGCCAGCCGGACACGAGCGACUAAGGCCAGAGACUCUGUGCCACUGCAUCCUCGCAUCUUGUCCCUGGGGCUGGCCCAGGGAAGGACACCCCAACCCCUAUUUCAUUUGCCCUGGGUAGGAAAGACUACCCUUAUACACUCCAGAGUGACGGGUACAGGGCCCAGAUUACCCGUACCUACCCCCAACCCUGUCUCUGCUGAGGAGGAAAGGCCUGACAACCCUAACUUUUUUCUUCCAGAGUUCCCAGCUCUCACCACCUAUUGCAGUUCCCACCCCUCCAUAUUUAUCUCCCUGGCAUCUGGCCAGCCCUCUAUCUCUGUCUCUGGGUUUCAGGCCUCCCUUCUUGACAUGGAGAGUAACCUGUCUGGUCUGGUGCCUGCAGCUGGGCUGGUACCUGCACUGCCUCCUACAGUGACCCUGGGGCUGACCGCUGCCUACACUGCCCUAUAUGCUCUUCUCUUCUUCUCUGUCUAUGCCCAGCUCUGGCUGGUGCUUCUGUAUGGGCACAAGCGCCUCAGCUAUCAGACGGUAUUCCUGGCACUCUGUCUGCUCUGGGCUGCCUUGCGUACCACACUCUUCUCCUUCUACUUCCGAGAUACUCCCAGGGCCAACCGCCUGGGGCCCUUGCCUUUUUGGCUUCUCUAUUGCUGCCCUGUCUGCCUGCAGUUCUUCACACUGACGCUUAUGAACCUCUACUUUGCGCAGGUGGUGUUCAAGGCCAAGGCGAAGCGUCGGCCAGAGAUGAGCCGAGGCUUGCUGGCUGUCCGAGGGGCCUUCGUGGGUGCUUCACUGCUCUUUUUGCUGGUGAAUGUACUGUGUGCAGUGCUGUCUCGCCAGCGCCAGGCACAGCCCUGGGUCCUUCUGCUGGUACGCGUCCUGGUGAGCGACUCCCUCUUUGUCAUCUGCGCCCUCUCGCUUGCUGCCUGCCUCUGCCUCGUGGCCCGUCGAGCCCCUUCCACCAGCAUCUACUUAGAGGCCAAGGGGACCAGUGUGUGUCAGGCAGCUGCUAUAGGGGGUGCCAUGGUCCUGCUCUAUGCCAGCCGGGCCUGUUACAACCUGGCAGCUCUGGCCUUGGCCCCUCGGAGCCGGCUAGAUGCCUUCGAUUACGACUGGUACAACGUAUCUGACCAGACUGUCCUCUGCCUCUGUUUCCCCCCAGGCAGAUCUGGUGAACGACCUAGGGAACAAAGGUUAUCUGGUGUUUGGCCUCAUCCUCUUCGUGUGGGAAUUACUGCCCACCACAUUGCUGGUGGGCUUCUUCCGGGUACACCGGCCCCCACAGGACCUGAGUACCAGUCGAAUCCUCAAUGGGCAGGUUUUUGGCUCCCGAUCCUACUUCUUUGACCGGGCUGGCCACUGUGAGGAUGAGGGCUACUCCUGGGAGCAUAGCCGGAGUGAGAGCACCAGCAUGUCCGGCAGCCUGGGCUCUGGCAGUUGGUAUGGUGCCAUCGGGCGUGAGCCAGGCUGGGGAGGGGCCAGCCAGACGAGGACCACUCCUCUGCUCUUCUCCCAGGUGCCAGGACCUGGUAGCCACCACCACAGCCUCUAUUCCACGCCACAGACGUGAUCUCCUUUUACUCCCCCUAGAAUGCCCAGGCCCCAGCUCCCCUAACCCCUGGCCCCUGUGCCAAGUAUGUCUGCUGCUUCUUGCCCAGGGUGCCAGGAGACUGUGGCUGCUUCUCUCCUCUGGCCAGCUCCUUGCUGCUCCUAUUGUAGUGAGCUUGUGCCACCCCCCUAAAAUGGGGACAAGGCCCCAGGAUACCAGAUGCCCACAGUGCCCUGGCAUGACCUGCCACCUCUGCUUCCACACUGGAGCCAGCUACCUCUCCUGUGCCUACCACUCAAUAAACAGAGUCUGUGCCCUGUCCUUUC